AUGUAGCGUGGUGUCUCAAAUGUGAUAAAUGGAUAUCACAGGCAAAACAAUGGAUAAUAAGACCUCGAACAACAUGGCCUCCUCUUGAUCUUAUUUCCAAAAUAAUCUCCUGUGGUGUCUUUUUUGUUCCCAUAGGUUACAAAGGGUCCAGCAAUGAAAAUCUACAAUGGAGAAUAUCAUUUUCAGUGGCGGAAAAGUUUCUCAUAUUUUCCUUCAAUCAUACCCAGUUGUUUUGUUAUGCGUUAUUAAAAGUCAUGAUAAAAGAAAUUGUGGAUAAGCACGAAGAUUUAAAAGGUUUAUUGUGUUCUUAUUUUAUGAAAACCUUGAUGUUUUGGAUUUCGGAAGAAUCGGAUCCAUCAAUGUGGAGACCAGACAAAAUAAUACCAUGCUUCAUGGUUUGUUUAAAGAGA
rnacentral:lncRNA from 1 species